rnacentral:lncRNA from 1 species
UUCACUAAAAAUAUUUCUAAACAUAAAGAAGACGCCAUUUACUAAUUAGGAACUUGAGUGUACUAGCCUUUUUGAAUCUAACAAUAUUGGGAUGCUUUAGUGAUCAAUUGUUUGUGUUUUCCUCUUUACAUGUUUAUAAAUCUGCAUACACACAUCUCAUACUAGGAAGUUAAUAGUCAAUCAAUUCAGUACUUACACAAAUGCAAGUAUACAUAAUAAUCAGUUGAAAGAUACAAUCAAGGAAAAGUGACUUACACAAAUGGAACCGAGAAAUACUACUUUCUUUCACUGUGUACCUAAUCAGAGAUAUAAAUCACAAACAAAAAAAAACUUAGCAUAUAACACAAACCUAAAUAAUUAAUGUGAAUAAAAGACAGUAUUUGAAAAUUGCAAAAACAGAUAAUUAGAUUUAAGUCAUAAAAAUCUAAUUCACAAAUCAACCUAGCCUAAGUAAGUCUUGGUUAUUUUAUUAGUAUUCUUAUGUUAAAUUAGAUUGAUUCAAAUAGUUCAUCACUAAUUGUUACCUAAAUUGUUUUUGAUAAAUUUGUUUCUGAGUUUAAAUCGCACCACAUCAGACUUACAAAGAAAAUUGAUGGAGAACAACAAUUCAUACCUAAUAUACCAAUAGUUCAUAUCAAGAAGCAAAUGUGUAUCAAGAAGCAAAUGUGCAGAAACUAAGUCAGGUGAGUCAAAUCUAAAUAUUACAAAAUCNNNNNNNNNNNNNNNNNNNNNNNNNNNNNNNNNNNNNNNNNNNNNNNNNNNNNNNNNGAAUUCAUUUAAUCAAUGCAUUAUUAGAGUCUCCAAAACAAAGAUGAAUUCAUAUAAACUAAUAAGUCAAGAGAAUGAAGCUAUCUGUCAUCCACAAAACCUGAAAUGCACAUCUAACUGCCACUGCUUGCUCUGAACCCUGCCAUGAAAGAAAAAAGGAAAAAAAUUAAAACUGAACAGCAGCAAAAAAUAAAACAAAACAAAUUUAAGAAAGGAGAUGGGAAAGGCUACAAUCACCGGAGAAAACCCAAUUAACUAUGUCUAAAAAGUUCCCUCGAUCAACCACUGAAGCCACCUAAUAAAACAACCAAAACCAACAACAACUUCCAUUAAAUUCCAAAUCAAAAUGUGUAACAUCAAGCAUAAUAAAUCUAAAACACGUGAAUGUCAAGCCUGAAUAAAAUAAAUGUUUGAAGAAACAUGUCAAAAGGAAACAAAAAAAACUCAAAAAAAAAAAGAAAAGGUGUGAGGCCGUAAGCUCACAGAGACAAAAUGAGAGAACGAAAGAGAAGGUUCGAUACUUGUCGGAGACAGAACAAGAGAAGCUAUAAGUCGAUUUGGAAAGAGAUUUAUGGAUUAGGGAUUGGAACGAUGAACGAAUUAGGGGUUUCGAUUUGGAGUAUUUGAAAUUUAUUAGGGAUUUCUUCUACUUAGGGAUUUGGAACGAUGACCAAAUUAGGCACUUGUGGUUGCAUCAAUUCCAUAGAUCCAUGGAUGAAGAGAUGAGUUAGGCUAGGGUUUUACAUUUUGGAACGAUGGAACUGUUUUGCGUUUUUGGAGUUUAAGUGUAGUGUUUGAUUAGUUAUGUGAUGGGGUUCUAUUUUUU